AUUGCACUUGACUCUGGCACGCCAUUUCACACAUCAGCGACAAAAGCUAACCCUUGAGAAAAACAAAUGAGCCAAAAACAAAAGUCCACUGGAGAGCUUUUUCGGAAGGAACGAGUAAACAUUGGGACAGCAGAAGGGUCACAGACUGUCAGCAAAAAGAAAGCUGCAUUUAAAUGAAAAUACCACAAUUCCUACCCAAGUUACGGGUUCAUCGCAACAGGUGAUACACAAGCGCCGCAUAAGAGCUCCUGCAUAAUUUGCGGUGACCGACAAGCUAAUGAAGCCAUGAAACCCUCAAAAAUGCUCCACCACAUUGAGACAAAACACCCUGAGUUAAAUGACAAGCCCUUGGAAUUUUUUGAAAGAAAAAAACCUUAACAUGAACGACAAAAACAGUUAAUGAAGGCCACCACUUCAACAAACGUGUCUGCGCUGAAAACAUCAUUCUUAAUUACGGAGUAGACUGGAUAUACGGAACACAAUUCGAGUGUCACCGUCUCCCAUCACGCCCAGAUGGGACCAUCUAGUUGGAGGGAAACAAACCCAAGGCUCCCACUGACUCUGCAUUACGAGGAGCUGUGUUUAUCACCUAUUAAAGGUGGACAGUGUGCUGCAGGACGGAUGGAGAAUCAUUCCCAGACUAGUGAAAAGAAGAACAGCAGCUCUAUACAGUACCAGUGUGAUUACUUUGUAAAAAGGAUUAACUGAGACUCCAACCUACACUGAAUGUCUCCUACUAACCAGUGCUGUAUCAGAGCCUGAUGUGUCUUCUUCCUCUGUGCCGUGUAGCUUUGCUGUUAGACACAUGUGCACUGACAUGUUUCUUCAUUACCACAUACACUGUCAUUUACUCUGUCUUAUACAAACCUUCCGACCUGCCACAAUUACUAAUUAAAGUAGAGUAAUCCACCACUUAUAUCCCCAGCAAAUUCACUUUUUCUUUUGAUUGACAAAAACUACAGUGAUCUGCUCUUUUAGGAAAUUAUUAAGGCUUUUUUUUUUUUUAGUUUUCUGAACUGCUAAACCACCAAACCCCAUUCUCAGAACUGCCAAUACUCAUUUAUCGAAGGCAUCAUUCUUUUUGCAGGAUUCGGAUUCAAA